AACUUAAAUGAAUUGACGGGGCCCGCACAAGCGGAGGAACAUGUGGUUUAAUUCGAUGAUACGCGAGGAACCUUACCUGGGCUUAAAUGGGGAGUGACAGCUGUCGAAAGAUGGUUUUCUUCGGACACUCUUCAAGGUGCUGCAUGGUUGUCGUCAGCUCGUGCCGUGAGGUGUCGGGUUAAGUCCCAUAACGAGCGCAACCCUUACCGUUAGUUACCAUCAGGUUAAGCUGGGGACUCUAGCGGGACUGCCACCGUAAGGUGAGAGGAAGGUGGGGAUGACGUCAAAUCAGCACGGCCCUUAUGUCCAGGGCUACACACGUGUUACAAUGGCCGGUACAAAGGGCAGCUACUUCGCGAGAAGAUGCUAAUCUCGAAAGCCGGUCUCAGUUCGGAUCGAAGUCUGCAACCCGACUUCGUGAAGCUGGAUUCGCUAGUAAUCGCGCAUCAGCCAUGGCGCGGUGAAUACGUUCCCGGGCCUU
rnacentral:rRNA from 1 species